AGUGGCGGACGGGUGAGUAACACGUAAGAAUUUGCCUUUAGGAGGGGGACAACAACUGGAAACGGUUGCUAAUACCCCAUAUGCUUUCGAGUGAAACGGAUUUUUCCGCCUAAAGAGAAGCUUGCGGCUGAUUAGCUUGUUGGUGAGGUAAUGGCUCACCAAGGCGACGAUCAGUAUCUGGUUUGAGAGGACGAUCAGACACACUGGAACUGAGACACGGUCCAGACUCCUACGGGAGGCAGCAGUGGGGAAUUUUCCGCAAUGGGCGAAAGCCUGACGGAGCAAUACCGCGUGAGGGAUGACGGCCUAUGGGUUGUAAACCUCUUUUUUCAGGGAGGAAUCGAAUGACGUGUACCUGAAGAAUAAGCAUCGGCUAACUCCGUGCCAGCAGCCGCGGUAAGACGGGGGAUGCAAGUGUUAUCCGGAAUCACUGGGCGUAAAGCGUCUGUAGGUGGUCAAAUAAGUCAACUGUUAAAUCUUGAGGCUCAACCUCAAAAUCGCAGUCGAAACUAUUAGACUAGAGUAUAGUAGGGGUAAAGGGAAUUUCCAGUGGAGCGGUGAAAUGCGUAGAGAUUGGAAAGAACACCGAUGGCGAAGGCACUUUACUGGGCUAUUACUAACACUCAGAGACGAAAGCUAGGGUAGCAAAUGGGAUUAGAUACCCCAGUAGUCCUAGCCGUAAACAAUGGAUACUAGAUGU
rnacentral:rRNA from 1 species